rnacentral:rRNA from 1 species
GAUGAACGCUAGCGGCAGGCCUAAUACAUGCAAGUCGAGGGGUAUGGGUUGCUUGCAACCCAGAGACCGGCGCACGGGUGCGUAACGCGUAUGCAAUCUACCUUAAUCAGGGGGAUAGCCCGGAGAAAUCCGGAUUAACACCGCAUAACAUUGAGUUGUGGCAUCACAGUUCAAUCAAAUAUUUAUAGGAUUAAGAUGAGCAUGCGUGACAUUAGUUAGUUGGUGAGGUAACUGCUCACCAAGACCACGAUGUCUAGGGGAUCUGAGAGGAUGACCCCCCACACCUGUACUGAGACACGGACCAGACCGCUACGGGAGGCAGCAGUAAGGAAUACUGGUCGAUGGGCGCAAGCCUGAACCAGCCAUGCCGGGUGCAGGAAGACGGCCCUAUGGGUUGUAAACUGCUUUUGUACCGGAAUAAACCUACUCUUGCGAGAGAAGCUGAACGUACGGUAAGAAUAAGGAUCGGCUAACUCCGUG